rnacentral:rRNA from 2 species
UGGGGAAUUUUGCGCAAUGGGGGAAACCCUGACGCAGCAACGCCGCGUGCGGGAUGACGGCCUUCGGGUUGUAAACCGCUUUCAGCAGGGAAGAAAUUGACGGUACCUGCAGAAGAAGCUCCGGCUAACUACGUGCCAGCAGCCGCGGUAAUACGUAGGGAGCAAGCGUUAUCCGGAUUCAUUGGGCGUAAAGCGCGCGUAGGCGGCCAUGCAAGCAAAACCUCUAAUCCGAGGGCUCAACCCCCGGCCGGGUUUUGAACUGCAUGGCUCGAGUUGGGUAGAGGCAAGCGGAAUUCCCGGUGUAGCGGUGAAAUGCGCAGAUAUCGGGAAGAACACCGAUGGCGAAGGCAGCUUGCUGGGCCUUGACUGACGCUGAGGUGCGAAAGCGUGGGGAGCGAACAGG